CCUAACACUGUAAUUAUUACAGUUCAUACUUACAGUCAUUGCAUGACUGCAACAACUAAAAGUGCAUCCCAAGUGCUACCUUCAAAGCCUUUCAGCCUCACAACACAGACUUGAGAAAGGAAUGGUGAAUAAUGAUGUCCCGAGCUCUCUUCCAUUCACAGAGCAUGUUGUUUCUGUAGCCACUAUUAGCUAAUAGAGUUGCAAACAUCGCUCAAAGUUUCCCUUGUAAUUUUGUGACACUUCUCUACAACUGGAAUCUUUAAUCCUGUUUAUGGUGCAUACAUUUUUGGGGAAAAUCUGCAAAAUAUUUCCUUAAUAAUAAUAAUAAUAACUACUUAAUUUUUGUACCAUCUCCCCAAAGGGACUUGGGGCAGCUUAAUAUGACACCAAGUGCAUAAAACAAAGCAUAAAAUAAACACAGAGUGCAAUACAAAAAAGUAAAACCAAUAGCAUAUAAAACAACAAUUUAAACUCAGAACAACACCCAAUAACCUAUGGUGACAGUUAUAAACUAUUAAGGGUGUGCACAUUUUGGGGACUAUCAUUGAUCUAUCUAUCCAUCUAUCUAUCUAUCCAUCUAUCUAUCAUCUAUUGCAAGCAUAGCGUUGAUUCAGGAUGUGUUAGCAAGUAACAAGAUGACCUCCUAAUCCAUACACUCAAAAGUCAGCCUGACUUGUUUGUGCAAAAUGGAUAAUAGGACCUAAAAGCAUAAGCUACGUUUAAGGGUGCAUUCUUUUUUUCUUCAAAAUAAAUUAAAACUCGAGUUGGUGUUGUAUUUUGAUUUACUGGAUUAACUGCUGUAGAUUUGUCUGGGGAAUAUUUGGAAUGAUGUUUUGUGGGAGUGAUAAGACAUGUUAGUUAAAACAUUUCUCAUCACUCCCUGGAUUUCCUAUGGGUGGGGAUCUCUUGUCAGUUAAACUGGUUCAUUUGUGUACCACAAACAUAGCUUUAGGCCUUCAAAUGCUUGUCAUCACUAGCUGCACAACUGAAAGCAUUUGGAAAGAUAUUGAACUGUGUCUAUGAACAUCUCUUUACUACACUUUAGAGAAGCAUCCAUGAUUGUACUCCCGGACAAUGAAAAGCAGCCAAAACAAUGGUAGUACCUUAUUUCAUUGCCCAGGAAACAGUAAAAACAGAUAAAAUGCUGGUAACCUAAAUCAAGAAUCCUUUGAUUUAAGAACAUACAGUUGGAGAGGCUGGAAAUCUUUAACGCUUGAAAACUACCACCCACAAAUACUGAAGAUCUGUUUAUGGCAGUGGAGAUGGUUUUGCAAAGAGCAAGGAGAAGACUAUAACACUUUAUUUUUUGUUCCACUCUCAGGAAUUAACCAACCAUCCUGUCUUUCUAUGGCUUCUUUCACCACAAUCAAUGGACCAUGAAAUAACUUGUCUGGAACAAUCACGAUUGGCUACAGUUCUUCACUAUGCAUUCGAGACUUAUUAUAAUUCUUGGCAGCCCUUCAACAUGAUUCUUAAAUUUCAACAGCAAGGGGGAAAAGGUGACUAUUGCCAAUGUCCAGUCUUUAUUAAUACUGUGAAAAGAAAAUGGGAACUGAAGACUCCUGCAGCGUUUGUGAAUUGAAAUUAGUAAAGACUCCCCCCCACCCCCGUUUCUUAAAAAAACAUAUUAAAAGAUUUCCUUGGUUCAUACUCAUGUCUUUGAAUAAACCAAGCACGGGGAACAACCAAGAAAUUAUUCACAAGACAAUAAUUGUUUUGUGGGGAGGGGGAGCCAUUGCAUUUUCAAUGAGGAAUGAAAGUAAUUAUUUGUUGGUGUACACUCUGUGGGCCUUCAAUCUAUGAGCAGCAGGAAACCAGAGCUUGUUCUCCAAGCUGUACAUUGAAGCCUAUCAUCGUGCAGCUUCCCCUUCUCUCCUUUAGUUUAAAGCCAGGUUAUACUGUCUGAAAGCUCAUUAGGUAGGAUCCCUCUUGGAGCAUCACUUAAGGCUUCAGUGGGAUUAUUCAAUCUUACUUAAGAGUGGGGUGGGAUUUUUGGAUUUUACUUAUUCAAGGGUCAACCCAACCCGUCCUUACAUACAUAAAACAGCAGGCCAAAGGAAAAUUGUGUAGCAUUACUUUCUUUUGAAUUUGCUACUUUAUUAAAUGCAAUGGUACUUCUGAUUGGAAUCUUGUUGGUGACAUAUGCACUAGUUAACCUGGAGUUAUGCAAGUGUUUUUGUUUUGAUAUUAAUUUCUCAAGGAGGCAUAUAGUAGCUUCUUGCACAAAGUCUUUUUGCACACAUCAAAAAAGAAGAAAAUAGUCCCAUGCCCUCAUGAUCACAAUCUAAUGAAGACAUGACAUAAAAAGAAAUCCUCUCCAUCCUCUCUCGCUUUUUAAAUCUCCUUUCCUUUCUCUAUCUCCCUCCAGAAUGGAGGAAACCUUUUGUCCACCAUCAUCCCCCUUCUUUCGGGGGUGCUUUGAAUGUGAUUUUUCCUGCUUCUUGGCAGGGGGUUAGACUGGAUGAUCCAUGGGGUCUCCUCCAACACUAUGAUUCUAUGAAAAGGCAAUGGUAAUGUUGGAGGGGAUUGAAUUCAGAAAGCACUGACUCUUCAUCCCUCCGUCCAAGGCAGGGGUCCUCAAACUUUUUAAACAGGUCAUGGUCUCUCUCUUGCCAGGCUAUAGUUUGUUGUUGUUUCAGAGUUAGGGUAACACUAAGGCAAUCUUGUCACAAUAGUUUUCUUAUCAAGAUUUAUUGAUUGGCCAUUUGACUUUGUCUUAAUCUGAGUCAAGAGAGUGUGACAGUCCAGAAAGAGUUUUAUCACAUGACUUUGUGAAUAACACUAAAAUAAAUUAUCUCAGUUCUCCUCUUCCACUUCCACUCUUCUUCCUUGCCAAGUAGUAAACUAACCAAAUUUCUGCUUUUUUUUUAAACCAAUACAGUAGAGUCUCACUUAUCCAAACUAAACGGGCAGGCAGAACCUUGGAUAAGUGAAUAUCUUGGAUAAUAAGGAGGGAUUAAGGAAAAGCCUAAAUGACUAAACGACUGAGCAGCAAGGAAAAGCCUAUUAAACAUCAAAUUAGGUUAUGAUUUUACAAAUUAAGCACCAAAACAUCAUACUAUACAACAAAUUUGACAGAAAAAGUAGUUCAAUACGCAAUAAUGUUAUGUUGUAAUUACUGUAUUUAUGAAUUUAGCACCAAAAUAUCACGAUAUAUUGAAAAUAUUGACUACAAAAAUGUAUUGGAUAAUCCAGAACCUUGGAUAAGUGAAUCUUGGAUAAGUGAGACUCUACUGUACCACCAUUAUGUGCACACAGUUCUUUUGGUGCUAUACAUACACUAUUUUGGAUAGAAUCUACGCAGUUUUAACCAAGCCGGUAAGAUAGGAUAUCAGACACAGUAUAUUUAGAUUCAUUUGUAAAACAAGGAAAACUAGAAAAAUCUACUUUUGGAUUGCAACCUCUGUUGAAAGUAUUAUAAUGUUACAAAAUUAUAUUGUUCAUGUACCUUUAACAGGUAAUAUGCUUUGUCAAUUUGAUACAGGUGGAGCUGUGUUUGUUAUAUAUAUAUUCUUUGCACUUUGCACUCUGCCUGUUCUGCUGUGUUUUUUCUCUUUGAGUUUUGUUUUGUUCCUGCAUUAUGCUUCUGUAUUAAAUUAAGUUUGACCACAUUA